rnacentral:lncRNA from 1 species
GUGUAUAAAUUUUUUAUUAAUUAUACUAUUAAAAGUUAAGAUUGGUGCAUGCGAUAAAAUUUUACACUUGGUGUAGGCAAAAGAAAAAGUGUUGAGAGGUUCCCAUUCAUGUAUAGAAAGAUACCGUUAAAUAUGAUUUAUAGUAUUUCAAACUUUUAGAAAAUAAAUUCAACCAAUUCUGAUUCUUUUACACCGCUAAAUUAGCAAGUAUCUCAUACUAGCCAUUAAAAAUUAUCAAUUUUAAGAUCUUUUAAUAAUAAAAUAAAUGAUGUCGAAAAUUAUGAAGUUUGAUUUAUAGAAGUUUUAAAUACUCUAAAUCACGUUUAACAGUAUGGAUCGUCAAUUUAAAAUCUCUAUCAUUAAAAAUAAUAUAUGAGUGCGAAGAUAAUUGUACUAAUAAGAGUACAUAGGCGGACUCUUUCUCUCUCUCUAUAUAUGCUUUUUAUAUAUU